rnacentral:miRNA from 2 species
UCAGGUGUGGAAACUGAGGCAGG